rnacentral:rRNA from 1 species
UGGGGAAUUUUGGACAAUGGGGGAAACCCUGAUCCAGCCAUCCCGCGUGUGCGAUGAAGGCCUUCGGGUUGUAAAGCACUUUUUGCAGGAAAGAAACGUCAUGGGUUAAUACCCCGUGAAACUGACGGUACCUGCAGAAUAAGCACCGGCUAACUACGUGCCAGCAGCCGCGGUAAUACGUAUGGUGCAAGCGUUAAUCGGAAUUACUGGGCGUAAAGCGUGCGCAGGCGGUUCGGAAAGAAAGAUGUGAAAUCCCAGAGCUCAACUUUGGAACUGCAUUUUUAACUACCGGGCUAGAGUGUGUCAGAGGGAGGUGGAAUUCCGCGUGUAGCAGUGAAAUGCGUAGAUAUGCGGAGGAACACCGAUGGCGAAGGCAGCCUCCUGGGAUAACACUGACGCUCAUGAACGAAAGCGUGGGGAGCAAACAGG